GUCUACGGCCAUACCACCCUGAACGCGCCCGAUCUAGUCUGAUCUUGGAAGCUAAGCAGGGUCGGGCCUGGUUAGUACUUGGAUGGGAGAAAAGAUUAUACUUGUAAAUA
rnacentral:rRNA from 1 species